UACAGAGGGUGCGAGCGUUGUCCGGAAUCACUGGGCGUAAAGGGCGCGUAGGUGGCGACCCAAGUCGAUGGUGAAAGCUCGUCGCUCAACGACGAGUCGGCCACCGAUACUGGGUUGCUCGAGCACUGUAGAGGCAGAUGGAAUUCCGGGUGUAGCGGUGGAAUGCGUAGAUAUCGAGAGGAACACCUGCGGCGAAGGCGGGUUGCUGGGCCGACACUGACGCUGAUGCGCGAAAGCCAGGGGAGCGAACGGG
rnacentral:rRNA from 1 species